GGCGAUUCGGGUGGACCAGUCGUUUCAAAAACAAAUGGCAAAAUUGUGGGCAUAACUAUAGGUAUAAAUGGAACAACAGGUGGUCGCGGAAUGUUCCUUCCAAUUACUCUAUUUCUCGAUUUUAUUCAUGACCCAAAGAGCGUGAAACCACUUCCACCUUCGCUCACACCUAACGAAGCUAAAUUUAUAGCCGAUAUAACGGUACAGCCAAAAUUUCUUACUGUUUUCAAUUUUGCCGAUACCGACGAAAACUUUCAACUCCAAUUUAAUGCAAUCAUUUUGUCGGAAACGGAGAUUUUGACCUGUGCACAUAAUGU